GCCCGCCUAGCUCAAUCGGAUAGAGCGUCAGACUCUUAUCUGUCAAAGCGGGAUGAUAUCUGAAGGCUGCGAGUUCGACCCUCGCGGUGGGCU